rnacentral:rRNA from 1 species
UACGUAGGUGGCGAGCGUUGUCCGGAAUUACUGGGUGUAAAGCGCGUGUAGGCGGGAGGCCAAGUCUGUGGUGAAAUCGCCUGGCUUAACUGGGCGGGGUCCAUGGAAACUGGUCACCUGGAGGUCGGUAGAGGCGAGUGGAAUUCCCGGUGCAGUGGUGAAAUGCGUAGAGAUCGGGAGGAACACCAGUGGCGAAGGCGGCUUGCUGGGCCGGACCUGACGCUGAGACGCGAAGGCGUGGGGAGCGAACGGG